rnacentral:rRNA from 1 species
UACAGGGGGUGCAAGCGUUAAUCGGAAUUACUGGGCGUAAAGCGUCUGUAGGUGGCUUUUUAAGUCCGCCGUCAAAUCCCAGGGCUCAACCUGGGAACUGCAUUCAAAACUGUCGAGCUAGAGUAUGGUAGAGGGUGGUGGAAUUUCCUGUGUAGCGGUGAAAUGCGUAGAUAUAGGAAGGAACACCAGUGGCGAAGGCGACCACCUGGACUGAUACUGACACUGAGGUGCGAAAGCGUGGGGAGCAAACAGG